CUUUGUACAAGGUAAAAUAUCUCAGUCACUGUUCUAUUGCAGUGAAGAGCCACCAUGACCAUGCUAACUCUUAAAGUAAGUCAUAUAAUUUAGGGCUGGCUUACACUUUCAGAGGUUUCGUCCAUUAUCAUCAUGGCAGGGAGCAUGAUAGCAUGUGAGCAGACAUGGCACUGAAGCAGUAGCUGAGAUCUAUAUCCUGGUCCAUAGUCACAAAGAGUGAGGCUGGGUCUAACAUGUUCUUUUGAAACCUCAAAGCCUACCCCAAUGAUACACUUCCUCCAACAAGGCUAUACCUCCUAAUCCUUCUUAAAUAGUGCCACUCCCUGGUGUCAGAGCAUUCGCAUAUAUGAGCGGGGGUGGGGGGGGGAGCAUUCUUAUUCAAACCACCACAGCUAUGGAUCUAACUUUAUUCUCCUGCAGGUGGCUGUAUAGUCUUUCCAGCACCAUUUGUUGAACAGACUACCUUCUUCCCACCUGUUUGCCCACUUGGUCAGAAAAGAAAUAAAAUGUCAUUUUAUUUCUAAGACCUUUGUUUUUAUUUCAUUGGUCUGCUUGCCUGUGUUUGUGCCAGCAUCAGGCUAUCCUUGUCACUAUAGCUCUGCAGUAUGAUUUGAGGUCAGAUAUUGUAAAGGGCGCUGCAUUGCUUUUACUCCAUGGGAUUGCUUUGGCUGUCUGUGGUCUUUUGUGAUUCCAUAUGAAUCCUUGUAUUGAAUCAAAUAUGAUAUCAGAAUCCUGUCAGGUAUUGCAUUAAAUCUCUAAAUUAAUGUUGGUAGUGCGGCCAACACAACAAUAGUAAUUCUGCCAAUUACACUACAUAGUCUUUGUACCAUGUAGUGUCUUCCAUGACCUCAUUUCUCAGUGUCUUGAAGUUCUCCUCGAAGAGCUUGCCCUUUUCUUUAGUUUACAUAUAUUUCUAAAUGUUGGGGCAAGGGGACGAGUAUUUUGAAUGGCAUAUUUUUCUAAUCUCUUUCUCUGGGAGUACACUGAUGAUAGACAUGAAGACUAUUGUUAGAUGUUGUUGCUUCUAAUAUUGACUUUGUAUCCGGCAACUUUUUUUUCUUAUUCUUCAGCUGAGACAGCAGAAGAGACGAUUUAUUGUACACAAGUUAUACUUGGCCAUAAGUGAGGACAGAACUAGUCCAGAAUGAAGUCCGGGUUAGAGGCCCAACAGGGACCCUUCUGGUUAUGAGAAAGGCAAUUCCUCAGAGUGGGCUUGGUGGUCAGAUGAUGAACUUCCAUAUCUACUGAGUCUGAAUACUGACAGUAAUAUACAUUCCAACAACGUGGACCCGUGUCCUGGCCUCCACAUCCCUUAUUUGGACCUUUCAGCCUCUGUGGCUGCACAGCUAGCUUGCAUGGGCCUGCCUCGUUUUUCUUCUCUGGCACAUUCACUUCUUCCUCUAUCUUGUUCUCAUGGCUCAAGGAAGACGACACUCAGGCCAGGAGCCCCACCACUUUACUAUAAAUGUUUAUUAAGCCCAAGAGCUUUCUAGCAGCCUCUACAGAGCGUCUAAGGAAAGAAUCAUAUCUGUGAAUACGAAUAGACUGGCUUAUCUUUCCUUCUUUUAUAUAUCUUUUUCUUGUCUAAUUGCUAAAGCUAUGUGUCUUUAAGCACAUAUCAAAUGAGAGAUGAUAGGGUAGCCAUUCUUGAUUUCAGCAGAAAUGCUUUCCAUUUCUAUCCAUUUAAAACAAAUGUUAGCUGUAAGUGUGCUGUGCAUGGCCUUUACUAUUUUGAGGCAUGUCUCACAUAUUCCUGAAGUCACCCUUAUUUUUACCAUGCAGGCACCUGAGCUUAUUAAAAACCUUUUCCAGCAUCGAUUGAACUGACUACAUAAGUUAUGCCCUUAAGUUUAUUUACUGGUAUGUGAGUGUUUUGCCUUCAUUUAUGUAUGUGCACCACACGCAUGCAGUGCCCAUGGAGACCAGAAGGAGUUGUCUGACCUCCCAGAAGUGGACCUUUUCAGUGCGAAACUUCUUUGUUUUAUUGGAGUUUUGCUUCUGUUGUUUGCUUCUAAUUCCAUUGUUUCUGGCCUAUGUUGUCUCCCUUUUGCUAUAUUUGAAGUCCUUUCUUUCUCCAGCCUCCUAGGUGCAAGGUUUUGCCGUGUUCCUCAGAAUACCUCCAAGCUCCGAGCUUAGACUCUUCUUGCCUCCCUCACCUCCCAGAGCUCUCUGAUGACAGAUAUACACUACCAUGCCCAGACUUUUUUUCCUUCCUGGUUUCUUAAGGUAUAAAAGAGUUCAUUAAUUUUACAGUACUGUUCUUUCUUAAUUUAAGCUUCUGAAGCUGUAAGUGUCCCUCCGGGCAACACUUCAGCCCCAUCUGUAAGUCAGGACAUUUUGGUUUUAGUUUCACCUGAUUCGUGUUUUCAAAUUUCCCUGGCAGUUUCUUUUUGCAAGCCUUCGUGAUUUACAAGUUCGAUGCUUGACUUCCAAAUGUGCCGGUCUUAUUAAGACCUUUUGCUGGCGUUGGUUAUUAAUUUAACCCUGUGUGGUCACAGAAUAUACUCCGUAUCACAAAUGCAAUUUAAAUGUAAAUGUAAUUUAAAUGUAAAUUUAAAAUAUAUAUUGGGAUUAGACUUGUAGCCAUAAAUGUGGACUAACUUCUCAAACAUUUGUGUGCAAUGCCAGCCUGGCUUAAAAGUACUGUUCUACUGUUGUGUGAUCAAGCUAGAUCCAGCUGGUUGUGAGUACUGACCAAGUCUUCUGUAUCUUUACUGAAACCACACUUGAUCUAGCAUAGCUAGGAGAAGAAGCAUAACACACACACACACACACACACACACACACACACACAUACACACAUACACACGGUAAUUGUGCAUGUGACCAGUUUAUCACUCCAGCAUUGCUGGUUACUUGCCACAAGCAUCUAGAAGCUGUUCUUAGAGGUACACACAUUUCAGAAUGACAUAUCAUCCUCAAGAACUGACCUGGUUACGAAUAUGAAAUGUCCCUCUUUAUCCCUGGUAAUAAUUCUACUUUACUUCAUCUUAUAUGAAUAUGUUCUCAUUUCCAUAUUAUACGAGUUUAUAUGGCAAAUCGUUGCUGAUCCUUUUAUACUUAGUGUAUUCCUUUACAGUGUAUGUUAGCUAUAAAUAGCAUGCACCUGACUUAGGUCCGGUAUUAUAGUCUCUACCAUUAAAUUACACUUUUAGGCUACUCGUAUUUAACAUAAUGACAUUCAUAAUCAGGCUGAGUUCCACUACCUUGCUAUCUGACCCAGCUCUUUUUCUUUAUUCCUUCUGUACUUUUUAAAGAGUUGUUAUUAUUUUUAAUUAUGUGCAUGGGAUGGGAGAUAUGGACACGUGGGUACAGAACCUACAGAUCUCGGAUGUGGUGGCCUGAUGUGGGUGCUGGGAACAGACGUUGGAUCCUUUGGAAGAGCAGUAGGAGCUCCUAACUGCUAAGCCCUCUCCCCAGGCCUGUGCUGAGGACACCUUGUUGGAUACAGUAUCCCUGGUCUAUUGCUGCUUCCCUUUACCAAGCUUCUUGUUGCUUCCUUUUACCAAGCAUCUUCCUGCUCCCUGCUUCUUGAAAGGCAUCCACAGCCAUCACCAUCUCUGUUCCCGGUGGUGCAUCCUUUCCUCUGGCUGUCUGAACGUUGAUUAUGCUGUACUGUAAGGCCAUUUUCCCUGUGUUCAUCUAAAUUUGGACUUGGCAAACUUCUUAGAUCUGAGGGAUGAAUGCCCUCCUUAGAGGUAAAAGCCCAAAACUUGAUGGGCUUGCUCAGUUUUGAAGCUAAUUCUCAGCCAUCUCUUUGAAUAUUAUCUCUCCAGGAUCUCUUCUCGCCUCUGUUGCUAGCACCCUUGCCACACAUAUAGUAGAGUCCCCUAUUGAACACUAAUGUUCCUUUCCUAAUUUCUUCCUGCCUCACUCUUCCCAGUGAAGCGGGCUCCUCAGUGUUUGUGAAAUGUAUCCCCCAAAUCACCUGUCCUCUCUGUCUCUAUUGCCUCCCAUCUCCUCUUCAACGCAGUCACUAUUUUAAAUAUUUUUACCUCAAUAAUGUUCCUUUCUUUUUUUGUUUCCAACGUGAGAGUCCUCUGUGGUUCUUCUCUGCACCAGCCUGCUGUGGUUUCCAGUCCAACUGUGCAGAAGAUCACUUAGAAGCUUCUUAUUAUGGGGAAAUAGCCCUCUGCUGUACCUGUCCAUUCUCCAGCAUGGCAGUCUGUCUCCUGGGACCUCUAGCCUCUGUAGAAAGCUUUUCAUAUGACUGUCUAUGUGUCUACAGCUAGGAAAGCGUCUCCAUGCAGCAGCAGCUUUUGUCUGGCAUGGUUAGUCCAGCAGGUUUUGGGGAGACACUGACUGACCUUCUGACCCCAAGGUACUGGGCCUUGGCAUUCACCUCUGCCAUCCCCAAAUCUGGAGUAUAGGCUCCUUCCAACCUCAGGUUCGGCCUCCAGGACUAGGUCCAGAGGUCUGCACUCUCUCCUCUCCUCUCUCCAUCUGUGCUAGAAGACACUGCAGACUGGGAAACUUUAUCCCAGGAGUCACUUUGACUUCAGUUUCAAUUAAUCACUCAGAUUUUACCUUCCUUGUUACAAGGACCUGAAUAUCUUGAUGUCCAGGUCUCUAGUGCAUAAUACAUCAAAAAAAAAUUCUUUAAAUCAUGGUCUCCAGGCUGAAGUAGACAAGCUCUGAAGCCUAUCUUUCCACCCAAGAACAUGGUCCAUUAAUCUACUUUCUGCACAUUUUCACUAUAUCAAAAGAAAUAUAGCUUAGGAAUGUUGCCUUCUAAAAAUAACUGCCCUCUGCUUUAAAUUCACUUUCACGAGUAUUUCUGAGAAUGGCUGCUUCCCCAGUCAUUGCAGGCAGAGACCACAGCUCCAUGGCCAGGACCCUUUCAGCUAAGUCCUUCCUGGCACAGCCUUCCUCCAUACCCGCUCUGAAGCCAGCUCCUACAGGUCGAUCUGUAGAAAAGUGUCAUUUUGUUAAGUAUGUUCUCAGCUGCCUGCUCACAGCCUUUCCAUUCCAUUCUCCAGUAAAAAAUCCUGGGAGCUGGCAGAGCAAAUUAUUAUAGCAUUUGACCAUUAAAUCUGUGUGCUUAAAGAAAAUGCAAAUUUCAAAAUUGCAAGCUCUCCCUUGAUACUUCCUCCCACCCACACCACCAGGCCUUGUGUCGUGCACUCCUCCAGCUGCAGCCUGCCCACCAGCUCCCCCCCCCCAGUAGCCAUCCUAACCUACAGGCCCCAGAAGUGCUCCUGCAGCACCGUGACCACAGCAAUGUGACUGGCUGGGUAUUGCCCUUCAAGAUAAACUAAAAGCCUCCGUGUGCACCAGCUCACUUGGCUUCUCACUCACAACUCUGGUACGUGGGGAAGAGACGCUGCAGAAUUGGUGAUGUUCUUCUCCACUUUAGCUUGUAGUCUCUCUUUAAUCCAAACAGGACGUGCUAAGCAUACUAGGUACCAGGUCCUAUGCUGAGUACCAGAAAGUAAUAAAAAUCAUAGAACCAUGCCUUUCUAAAGGUGCACAUUCCCAGAUGAAACAGAAUGCUUAGUAAAAGCCUGCACAUAGAUACUGUGCAUUCAUCCUUAUGCCUACUUCUCUAUGUUCUGGGCAACAGACAGAAGAAGCAGAGAUACAGAGAUAGAUGGACAAGUUAAUAGACAGGGUGAUGGGCAGACAGAGACAGGGAGGAAUACAGAGGCCAUGUGUCCAAGGACAUAACCAAAGGAACAGGAGAGAGAUGAGCAGUGUCUACCUGAUAACUCUCGUGGUGCAGAGCAGCUCCAAGGGUUUGGGAGUGAACUGAGAAUGUCCCCAAAUACAGAACCAGAUAGAAAAUGGGCAUGUGUCUGAGAGUUAGAAACUGAAUCAACCAUGUAAGGUCAGCCUCACCAAGUGGAGAACUGCCAAGCUGGGAAGAAAGCAGCAGGCAGGGAAAGGUCUCAACAAGGAGGGCACAGCAAGGUGGAUGGGUCUGGGAGACUGCAGAAAAUGCCCCUUAAACAUGCUAGUGUUAGCUUUCGUGACCCAAGUCAUGGCAUGUGUCUGCCUUUAGGAUUAUACAGUUCUUCCAAACACAGGCAGAACACAUGAGGGAAGGUUCCAGAGAUGGUGCUGGCUUCUGCCUGGCAAAGGAAGUGCUCAUUUUGAUUUGGUAAAGCUCUGAAAGUAGUUACCUCUUUUAAAAGAUUUUCUUUGUCUGAAACAUGGCCUUCACACACAUACUUUGGUUCUGGUUGACUAUGGGCCAUCCUUCUCCCCCAUAGUUCCCCCCAACACACUUUGCACCUCGUUAUCUGCGUGUCACAUUAUCCUAUUGUCCUUCCCACUUACCUCCUCAAAAUCUGUUUUUUCACCUCUCAUGGACCCCUUUUCCAGUUCCAUGGCCUAUAUUCAUGUGCAUUCCCACAAAAAUCUACGUAUAAAAAAUUAAGGGCUGGAGAGAUGGCUCAGUGGUUCAAAGCACUGACUGCUCUUCCAGAGGUCCUGAGUUUAAUUCCCAGCAACCACAUGGUGGCUCACAACCAUCUGUAAUGAGACCUGAUGCCCUCUUCUGGUGUGUCUGAAGACAGACAGCUACAGUGUCCUCAUAUACAUGAAAUAACUAAAUCUUUUAAAAAAAUUUUUUUAAUUAAAAGCUAGGACACUAAAAGCUAGGACACAUAUAUUCAAGAGACGCAAUAGGUUUUAGAAAUAAUAUACCCAGGGAUAAACCAAACCAAGGUGGUAAAAAAUCUCUGCCAUGAGAACUUUAAGACACUGAAAAAAAUAAAGUGAAGAAGACAUCAGAUGGAGGACUGGAAGAAUUAAUAUUAUAAAAAUGGUCUUACUACCAAAAGUGAUUUCCAGAGUGGACACUGUCCUGCCAAAGUCCUAACAGCAUAAUUCACAGGAGAGUUUGUGUUUAUUUCCUUAUUUUCCCUACCGCCCAUCUAUGCUAACUGUCCCUCUCCUACUCUCAGGUUUGUUUGUUGUUUUUUUUUUUAAAUAUAGAUACUACAUGUGGGAGAAAACAUGGUGUUUAUCUUUUUGAGUCUGGCUUACUUAACAUAAUAUGCUGAUCACCACUUUCAUCCUAUGUCCCUAAAGUGACAAAACUCCUCAAGACAGAAGAAAACUCCAUCUACACACACAUUUAUAUGUUUCCUUAUCCAUUCAGGUGUAGGCAGACAUCCAGGAGGGCUCCAUGCAUUGGCCAUGAGGUAUGGUGUCUCUGUGGUCUGCUGGCUUUGGUUCCUUCCCCUAUACACCCAGGAGUGGCUUAGCUGGGUCAUAAACUCCUUUGAGUUGCACGUUUUGCUUUUAAGGAGCCUCCAUAUUGAUCCGCAUUUAGUCAGCAAAGAAGAGAUCGCACAAAUCCCCUCCAGUAUUUGCUUUCAGUUGUUUCCUUGGUGAUGGUCACUCUGACGGGGCUGAGGCAGAAGCUCGGUGUAGCUUCGAUCUGCAUUUCGAGGUCUAAAGGGGUUUAAUGCAUUUAAAGCACUUGCUGGCCACUCGUGCCUCCCUUGAGAACUCUAUUCAGCUCAUUCCCCCUCACUGAUGGAGGUGUUGGUUCGUUUGGCUUUAAUUGCAUCUACAAGUUGCUUAUUAUAAAAUGAAGCACAUACACAGAAAAUACAGAGGCGAUGUCUUAGAUAUUUUUCAAUUGCCAGGACAAAGGCAACUUAAAAAAGAAAAUGUUUAACUGGGGGUUCGAGGGUUCAGAGCCUUGGAACCCAUCACUAUGACGGUGGAGAACAUGGCGGCAGGAGCAGGCAGAUGGGCAUGACACUGGAGCAGCAGCCAAGAAUUUUGGGACUGCUUGGGCUUUGAAAUCUCUAGGCUGACAUUGUGGGCAAUGACACAUCUCCUCCAAUAAGAACACAUCUGCUAAUCAUUCCCAAAUAGUUCCACCAAUUCAGGAGCAAGCAUUCCUUGUGAGCUUAUGUGAGCUUCUGAUAAGGGGGCAUUUUCAUUCAAACCAGCACAGGUAAAUUCUGUGAAUCAUCAUAAAGCAAACAAACCCACUGCUCGACCCAAGACACAAACAGCAAUACGCCAGGGGCACAACCUGCCUACACUGUCAUCACCGCCUAUCCCCCUUCUCACAGCAAUGUCUUUCUGACCUUUAACACGGGUCCCUUAACGAGAAAGGACUCAUCUGCUUGCUGUGCUGUGUGUAUCAGAGGCACUCUCUUCCACCAGCUGUGGCUAUCGCCCCAUCGUGCUCUCAGACUCCGCCCCAGCACUGCUAAGGUCUUGGUUGGUGUGGCAGUGGGAGGCUACCCAAGAGGCCUGCAAGGGGUAUGGGAUUGAGUAAGAGCUCCCACUGACAGCACACUUCAUUAAUGCACCAAGGGCAAGACACCUUCCUGCCAGAGUCCACAGGCAGAUGGAUGCACAUGGCACAGACCGGUGGGGGUUGGGGGUGGGGGGAUGGAGACGACACAGGGGAAAGGGACAAAGCAGAAGAAGGCAGAAAGCACACUCAUCAGGACAGGGGUUAGAGGUUACAUUUCCCCAUAUAUAAAGUACUGGAGACUAGACAAUACAGAACUCUAUAACCCUCUCCCCUAAUGGGCCACACCCCAGCAGGGCUAUUUCAUCUCUGGGAAGUGGAUAAACCCUUCCUUGCACAUUACCCUCCUCAGUAUAGAGCUCAACGUUCAGAGGGAAGAGACAGAGAGUCCCACUCACACACCCUGCACCUAGACAUUGCACUGGCCUAGCCAAGGACCAAAAGCAAUCAUUUCCUACAUCAGAGACAUGAGGACCAUGUAUGAAAUUUCAAGUGUCCCAGGCUGAAAAACCUGAUACUCUGCAACCCAGAAGAGGGGUUGAGAAGGAUGCAAACACAUGUCCAGCUAAGGGCAGAGACAUAGAAAGUAGCAUUUGCAUAUCGACAAGGGGCGCGAAGCGACAGGAGGUUGUUAACGCUACCAAAGCAGGCAGCCUAAGUAAUCAUCUACAAAGUAGGGAAGAUUAUCCUCAGAACUCCCUGGCCUAAAGCACCUGUAAAUGUCAAAAAAUACACAGGACAGGAACCCAAGGGGAGAUGGAAACCUCCACACAAACUCCACACCUUCCUCGCUGUUAACUUGACCACCUCACAAGACCACAUAAAGAACUUCUAGUUCUAUUCAAUAGGCUUCUCUUCAGUUUGCUGAAAGGUAUUGGGAGUCCGGAAAGGUGACUUGGUGGGUGAAGGGCUUGCUGUGCUUGCACAAAGACCUGGGUAUGGUCACCAGCAUCCAAGACAAAAACAGACAGAGCACGGUGGCACAUGCCCGCAACGUCAGUGCUGGACGGCAAAGACAAGGGGAUCCCAAGAGCUGGGGGUCAGUCAGUCAGGCGAAAUAGCAAUGCAAACACACAGACACACGCCACAUCACAACUGUUCAAGAUUUCAUCAUUAUUCUACAGAGACAUGGAUUCCAUUCUCUUUUAAGGACUUAUUAAUUUUAUUUUAGGUGUAAGGAUAUCUUGCUUGCACAUAUGCCUGUGUACCACAUGUCAGUCCUGUGGAGGCCAGAGGAGGAUAUCUGGUAUAAAAUCCUGCAACUGGAGUUACAGACAGCUGUAAGCCACCUCGCCGGUUCUGGGAAGGAACCCAGGUCGUUUGGAAGAACAGCCAGGACUGUUAACUGCUGAGUCAUCUUUUCAGCCCUGACAACAUUUCUUUUGAAAAGAAGAAAAACAGUAUUGGAUGUCUGAAAUCAACUGGCUGUAAAGCCAUGGGUUAGUUUCUAGGCCCGCUAUUCUGUUCUGUUGGUCUGCGUGCCUGUUUUCAGGCUAGGCCACACUACAUAUUACUGUAGUUUGAAGAGAAACAGAAUGACACUUCCAGCUUUGUUGUUUUUCCUUAAGCUUUGGCUGUUUGGGGUCCUUGGCGAUUCUACAAUAUUUUACCAGUCUCUGUGGAUGGGGCCAUUGUUAUUUCAAUAGUGAUUUAGUGGAUCUGUAGCUCUCUUGGAAUAGUGAGUUAAUUUUACUAAUUUCCACUUCUCUGAUCCAUGAACAUGGGCUAGCUCUCUGAUGUGUGUUUCCACCCCCAUUUCUUUCAUUGAUGUUUUAGUUUUAAAUGUAGAGUUGCCACACUUCCUUGGUUAAAUUUACAAGGGCAUUCUUGUCAUUAUUAUAAAUGAGACUGAUUCACUAAUUUCUUUCUUGGGCAUUUUUUUCCUAUUACUAUACACAACUGCUACUAGGUUUUGAGUGUCUUUAGAGGGCUCCCUGUGAGGUCUUAACCACCUUCAGGAAAAAUCUCCUUUUGUCCUUUCCAGCUUUGGUAACUUUUCUAUCCUUCUCUUACUUAGCAUUCUGUUAAACGGAAGUGGCAAAAGACACUACCUUCCUCUCAUUCCAGAUGGUAAAGAAAAAGCUUUCAACUUCCUGCUGGGCAGUAUAUGAGCUAUAGGUCUGGCAUACAUGAACCUCGAUGGUCAUGAGUUACAUGUCCUAAAUACAUAAUUCAUUAAGUGGCUUUUAUUGUCGUGAAGAGAUGUUGAGUCCAUGAUGAGAAAAGGACAGUCUCACUCAGGGGAAGCUAGUGAGAAAUCUCACUGGGUAAAGCUGACCAGCAAGAGAGCACAGAGGGUAAAGGUGCUUGCCACCAAGUCCCAGGACCUGUGUUCAAUGCCCGAGACCCGCACAGUAGGAGAGAACCAAUUCCUACAAACGACCCUCUGAUUUCCACAAUUAUAUCAUGACUUGCACAUAUAUGUGCACACAUGCAUGCGGGCACAUAUAUACAUACAUAAAUACAUACACAAUUAAAAAAUAAAUAAAAAACCCUAAGCUAGGCAUAGUGAUUCAAAUCUAUAAUUCCAGCACUUGGGUGGCUGAGGCAGGGGGAUCACAAGGCCAAGAGAGGUCUGAACUACACAGUGACUCCCAGGCCAGCUUAGGCUAAAAAAUAAGACCCUUUCUAAAAAAAAAAAAAAAAAAAAAACAGAAAGGAAAAAAAGGAGGAGGAGGAAGAAAUAAUAAAACUUUUCCAAAAGUCACUAAAUGACUAUAAGGCUUACAUUUAACAUGCCUGAUUACCAGGAAUAUUAUUUCUAAUAUAAAUGAUUAUACUUUUCUUUUUGAUUGAAUAGUUCAUUAAAAAUCCAAUUCUAUUACCCUGUUGUUUUUAAUUAAAGCUUGUAGGGGGAAAACAAUCUUAAAGUCAUCAGCUUCUGACAAAAGGAUUGAGAAUUCAGGGUGCUAAAACAUUUGCCUGACGGUGCAGUCAUCAAGACGUUCAAAUAAUUACUUUUAACACUACUAAAAAUUAACACCAGCAGUUUAAAAUGCCCUCUUGUUUGGGGACUCAAGCGAAUCAAUAAGACCAUGCUAAAAGCUAAUGGAAACAGAAGCCCACACGGAGGACUGAUGCUGCUUUACUACUCUCUCCUCUAGCUGAAGUGACAAUAUUUAUCAGUGCUGUUCACCGCUGGUUGUUUCUGCAGCACAAAGGCUCAUACUCUGCUUGGGUGAUGCUUUCUGAGGACAGGAAAAGAAGCCUAUUCCUCGAUGGGGUCCCCUGAGGAUUGCAGCUUUCACUAUUAGCCAGCAAAGACCCUUGGGGCAACAGAAGACCCUGCUUCUUCUCCAUGCCACCACCCUCACAGAGUCCUAGAAAAUGGCUCUCAUUGGGGAUCCUAGGACCCUCUCACACCCCACCCAUCAUCUCAAGUUGCUCCCUAGAGAUACAGGAGUAGCCAAGGAGGCCUCUAGAGGCCACAUGAGGAGGAGCAAGCCUAGAAUACAGCAUUCCUCAAGGGGUUGUUUACAGGGAAGUGACAUACUAGGGGCUGAGGCUUGGACCACAGGAUGUUGCUGCUGGAAGAUGGUGAACCUUUAAGAGAUGGGGCCUAAGGGAAGGCUAUAAAUCACUCAGGGUGACUCUUGGCCACUUCCUUUUGCCUAUUUUGCUUCCGGGACAUGAUAAGAGUCCCAGCUCUUACCAGCCUACCACCAGCCUGGCUUUUAUAUGGAAGGUAGAGAUCCGAACUCAGAUCCCUAAGAUUUUGUGGAAAGAACUUUACCAGCUAAGUCGUUUCUCCAGCCCAAGUUUUCUCCUUUACAUUUUUCUGGACUUUUCUUACAAGAUAUUUAUUACAAGGUACAUGAUUAACUUUAUUAUAAGAAAAAAAUGACCAUGUAUAAGUAAAAGAACAAAGUCAGAAAUCUCCCACUUUGCUCUCAUAGACACUGAUACAGGUCAUCUAAGCUCCUGACUCCAGUCCAUACCACCAAGUUGCCUCAGUCACAUCCCACAGCUACUGGUCCUUUUAAGCAGCUGUUCUUGAGAGCAGAGACUAUGUCUGUGUACCUCUUCUCUUCCUUCAGUAUCUCCAUAUUCUCUGGUGACUUCUGAAGCACACAUCCUUGCACAGUUUGUAAGAAGACGGAAAUCACUGUACUACACCAGUAGCUCUGGCCAGAAACCAGAGUAAAAACACCACUGAGAUCCUGAGGAGAACAGCUGGGUCCCCAGGACCAGAGGAACUCAAAGCAGGUAUCCGUUAGUCUUAGAGUGUUACCUCAUAGGUGUGCACCCAAAUGGCGGGUGAAAGAACCGACCACCAACAAGGUCCUCAUCCCAUGUCACAAAGGACUGAGCCAAAGCCCAAGCAUCACUGCUGGCCCCUGACUUGCCUGCUUGACUCUCCAAGUUUGCUUCUUACAGCUCCUGCAAGACUUGCUCUAACUACUUCUGCUCCAAGCACUGAAAACAAUGUGUGUUCGAUGGAAACACUUGUCACAGCUGUGGCUGAUGCAAACCCAGUUAUUAUGGUUUGGAUGUGGCCUGAGUGUUUCCCCAAGGCUCAUGUGGUAGAAGUGUGUAGUGCCCGGUAAAGACACACAGAGAAGUGGUGGGACCUAGUGGAGAAGUAACUCAGUUAUGGAAGCAUUACCUAAAAGAGAUCAGUGUGGUUCUGAUGAGACCACAGUUAUUCGCCAUGAUAUCAGAUUGAUAAAUGAGGAGGAAGAGGAAGAAGAGGAGGAGAAUGUGAGCCUAACCCUGAAUCUCUCUACCUUCCUUUGUCUCCAUGAAAUCUUCAACAUCAGCUUCCAUCUAUGAAGACCCAGAGAUGCCCAAUAUUGGCUAAUCAGCCUCUAAGACUGUGAAGUGAAUACCUCUUCUCUUUAUACUCACCUUUAUGCAUAUCUUGUUACAGCAGCAAAAAAGGAACUAAGACAUUAAGUGAUAAUGAUUAGUAGCUACUAUUCACUGGCUAUUUCUCCCAGAUUUGAAGAAAUGGCUACAUGAAUCUGACAGAGGUAGGCAUAUCUUCCAGUAGGGAGGAGGCUUCAAUUGCCUCCCUGCAUGCACCUCUGUUACUGAUGUGCUUAGACGGUUUCUCAGUACUCUCUUAAAUCCACAACUCAUGAAUCAUCACAUUUUAGAUGUGGACUUGAGUUCCAAAUGCCUUUCCAACAUGGGCUUCGGUUAUUUGCCCAGGGGAAUAAAUUCAAAUUCCACAUUUAGAGCUAAGGCACAAGUUCUUGCAGGUCUCAGCUUAAAAAUCAAGAACACAAACUUGGCCCCAACGGUGACCUACCUUUAGAGAGGGAACGGUUUUGUGUGUAGACAUCACAAAGCUAGUGCCUUGCCAGAGUCAGUUGAGCAUACACACAGUGAAAAGAGCUCCCCGAGCCUUUCAGGACAGAGCUGUUCAUCUCUUACACCUCUAGAAAAUUCAGAUUUGAAUCUGAAGAGAAAAAUGGCAUCUUCCCGCAAAGCUUCACGGAAGCACAAGAACUCAAUCCACUUACUUCUGGUGAGCCACUGUGCCCAAUGCCAUAGCCCUCACCAAAGGGGAGGGGCUCAAUGGAGACCGGACAAGCAUAGUCAGGCAGUUGGCCGCCUCCAGACAGCAUGAUGAGGGCAAACCAUCACUGCACACGAAAAUGUUAUUACCUCUCGGGGUUAGUCAAAGAAUUAACAAGAAUGUGUGUAAAGCACACAGCACAGGGAACAAAGCAGGGUCCAAGUAGGUGGAAGCUAGAGUCUCGUCAUCCUACAUAAGGCACCAUUCUGGAGAGAGGCCAACAAGUGGGAUGAGAAAGGGCUGGGCCAGGCCUGUGGAUCUGGAUCCAUCACUCUAACCCUAGAGCUACCAGAGUAAAUAUUGCUCCCUUAGAAGAAGCCUCAGGAACACCCUCUGAAAACCCAGACUCUGUGGUCUGGUGAAGACUCUUGACUCUUUGUCCUCGGGCCUAUGUGUAGGUAACACCAGUUGACAAUCUGCCCAGGAACCUACGAGGAAACAAAGAUCUAGCUGCACUGUCCCCAGCAACAACCCAGCAGAGUAAUACUGGGCCCAGGGAUGGCAUGUAUAGAGAGGACCUGGGCUGCGUGCAACUGUCCUGGAGACUUGGGGCUGGCGAGACUGGAAGACUGGAUCCAGAGGACUAGGGGAAGAGGGGGGGGGGGGAGGGCAGAGAAGGGCAGGAGGAAGAGGAAAUGCAAUGUGGGAGGUGGGGGAAAGAAACUUGGGAACAACUUGAGAUGGGUGGGGGCUCCCAGCGGUAAGGUCUGAAUGGAUCAUCCUAACUGACCUGGGCGUUGAUGCAAAGGUGCUGCUGCAGUUGGAAACAAACACAUCUCCAUUGUUCUCUUUUAUCCCGUAUCAGAUCUACACGGGAAACGCCCACCCUCACCACCUAAGCAAUGAGUGGCCCGAGACCCUAGGAGCACAGUAACUUUCCAGAGGAAGCAGGAAUACAGGCUGGACCUUUGGUUAGAGCCCACGGGGCUUUCUGCUAUUUACACCGAACACAGCCUUACCGCCGGGACUCCUCUGCCAGGCCGCCGAGGUGAUCCAGAUGAGACACACUGAUGUGAGUUUUAAUUUCCUCUCUUUGCCAGAUACGUAUUGACAUUUGGGCCACAAUCCAACCCUUAGGGAGAUUCAUUUAAUGAGUUUUGUGUUGCUUUUUAAAGUACCUAUAUUGUUCAAGAGCACAGAAUGGGGGGGGGGGGGGUGCGGAGAACAGGACCACGGGAACAGACCAAGAUCUGAGGAGAGGAAGCCUGCCCAGGCUAAUGACAGAGCAGAAGAGGUGGUCUUCGGGACUCAGAGGGGUCUUUUCUGGAAGCUCAAAGGACACCUUGAUGAACUAGCUGUUACCUACUACUAUCCCCAAGCUCAACACUUAGCAAGUCAGAGGACUACUGGUCCCUUGGAGGCCUCUGCAGAGAAGUAAGGAAGAAACUCAGUAGCUCAGUGGGCAGUCAGCUCCACUCAAGCCACUCUGCUCCAAGAACCCAGCCUGCAUGUCACCUUUGGGCCUUCUCGGUAGCAGCACCCAGGGUCCUAGUAGUCUCUCUGGUUAAUACAAGUCUCUGUACUGAGAAACAUGCAGACCCUACUGGCAAGGCCUGCUUCUUUUCCUGUGUAAUCCCAGGAACUACCCUAGCUCUAAGAUACUGCUCUCUUCAGCAAAUAUUUAUUGAGUACAUUCAGCAUGCCAGACACUGCACUUCAAAAGGGAGGCUGUGACAGUGAGAAGGACAGAAGGGGACAGAUGAUGCCAACACAGCAGACAAAUUACUGCUGCAGCCACAAGAGGCAAGGGGUUGAGAGGAGGGCUUCCUGGAGGGGAUGCCGGCACAGAACAAAGAGCAGGACUCAGAGCAACGGAGCAAAGGCUACAUCUCAGACUUGAAUAUUCUCGUCUCAUUAAAAUGCAGAGCCUGACUCCGGAGGCCUACCUCGGGACCCUCUAGAUCGCAUCUCCGAUUGGCUUGCAGAAAUGCAGUGCUGGUAGCUGAUAGUCUCAAAGCACUAUCUGGGCUGAGCUCAACCCUGAGGCUGAGCAUCCUAGUCCAUGUCCCUCGGCUUUGGCCAAGCCAGUGGUUCUCAACCUGUGGGUCGUGACCCCUUUGGAGGUCACAUGUCAGAUACCUAGCGUAGCAGAUAUUUACAUUAUGAUUCGUAAUGGUAGCAAAAUUACAGUUAUGAAGUAGCAACAAAAUAACUAUGUUUGAAGGUCUUCAUAACGUGAGGAACUGCGUUAAAGGUCACAGCACCAGGAAGGCUGAGAACCACUGCUCCAGCUCACUUUAGAGUCAGUUUCUUGAGAGGCAGUUCUUUUUUUUUUUUUUUUUUUUUGGUUCUUUUUUUCGGAGCUGGGGACCGAACCCAGGGCCUUGCGCUUCCUAGGUAAGCGCUCUACCACUGAGCUAAAUCCCCAGCCCCGAGAGGCAGUUCUUAUUUAUACUUCCCUGUUAAGCACUGCUGGCAUUCUUGUCUGUCUUGGUGAACAUUUUUUACUUUGUUUUUAAGAAAGAGGAGAGAAACUUCUGGAAUUUUCCAGGAAUAUCUCAGGUUUAAAAAAAAAAAAAACACUUAGUUGAUGUUUUAUAAAUUUUAUUUUCAAUUUUUGCAGAAAAGAGUGCCUCCUCGCUUACGUUCUACCAUGCCCACUGUGCAUGCUGUCACACAAUAUCCUCGCCUCCCCAAGCAGUUCUAAUUUCAAAUAUUUUAUCUCACUGUCAUUUAUAUAUUUUGUCAGGCAGCAGGUCUUGAUAUUAAAUUUAAAAGCACAGUCAUACCUCUACUGAGUCACUCCGGUGCUGGAGAUGUUCUUACACAGUGACUCCCACUCACUAAGUCAAUUUUACACCCUGGAGCUUAUCAAAUGGGGAGAAUAUGAAAAAGAAUGGUAGCAUGGGACUGAGGGACCAGACAGCACCUCACUCUAUGCAGAAUCCCCCAGAAAUGGGUACAAAUACAAUGGUGCCACAGCAGAGCUCAGUGACAAAGGAGGGGAGGUACGUUCCACCCACAGAUGAACAGGUCAGGUGUGGCAGGGAAGAGAAGCAGUGGAAAGAAAAGGUCAACCCAUCCAGGCGCAUGGGAAAGGCCACGGCAUUCGAUGAGCCCAAGCCCUCCACACAGUGAUGCCCCAGACCAGCGGUAACUACAUUAGCUAUCACAUGUGGACGCGCUUCUGGCCUCAGCUCCCCAUCCUGAGCAAAGAAGCUGGCCUCACAGGUCGCCGGGAGAUGAGAACAGCUCAUUUUUUAUUGUCUAAGCAUUGAGCCUCCGAAGAUUAACAGCCAUGCCAAAAGGGCCUGGAGGCAGCUCAACACAAGGUCCCUCUGGCCAAACUGUGACAAUUUGAGCAAUGACAAUAGCAACUCUAAGUGGAUCAAAACACUGAGAACAAAAAUCCAUGUGUCUGUGAAGAUGCUAAGAGCUGGGGAACAGAGCUGGAGUUCAGAAUUGGAAAAAGGUUGAGGAUGUGCUUCUCUGUAGUCAGAGGGCCCCAGCAGAUGGUCUAACUAUUCUAAUUUAUAGAAGGAUACUUUGAAAGCAGAAAUAAGAAAGUACUUAGCACUUAGGACUCAGGCAAAGCCAUUUGCUAUGGGUGAAGGACCAACACAGGGCUGUUCUCUUGUGAAAGGAGAACCUGCUGGGCUUAGGGCCUUGUCAACCCAUCCAAGGCCUCCAUCUUGGCCUCAGUGUUGGCGAAACAGUCAACUCGAGUAUCAAAAGCCACAAUAAUUCUCUUACAAUGAGUGAAGGUUCAGAGGAGAGGUGUCAACUGAGUGCUCAGCUACAGGUGGACAUCUAAAUCACUGCUACUCCAGGACUCAGGGUCAUCACAGAACAGAGGGGACGGAAAAAGAGGCGCCAAGGUCUAGGAAGAUGGGACCUCCCUCUGGACAGGACAGGAAAACAACUCAUGACUUCACAGCAGCUGCAGUUGCCUGCACAAGACCUGUACAAGAUCAAGCCAGUGAACUUUUCAACAUGGAGAUUCCCUCCUGAAUACCGUGUGUUUCAAGGUGGGAUGCUGCACCAUGGCCAGAUGAGGAC